CCGGCGUGAUCCAAUUGAACCGCAGCCUCCACCCCUGGUAGUGUUCCCCCGCCAAUUCCCUUAAGUUUCACUCUUGCGAGCGUACUCCCCAGGCGGCCCGUUUAACGCCUUCGCUACAGCACAGCAGGACCACGAAGGUCCUGCAACACUAAACGGGCAUCGUUUACAGCUAGGACUACCGGGGUAUCUAAUCCCGAUCGCUCCCCUAGCUUUCAUCCCUCACCGUCAAGUCAGUUCCAGUCAAGCGCCUUCGCCACUGGUGGUCCGGCUGGAUUAAAAGAUUUUACCCUUACCCCAGUCGUACCCUUGACCCCUCCCUGCUCCUAGUCUGAUAGUAUCUUCAGCACGCCCUGCAGUCUGCUGCAGGAUUUCACCGAAGACACAUCAAACCGGCUACGAAUGCUUUAGGCCCAAUAAUCGUGACUACCACUCGUGGCUCGGUUAUUACCGCUUACCGUGUAACCUAUGCAUUUGCACAGAGUUAUAUGGCGGCUGGCAACCGUAUUACCCACCACUUAUUCCUGCACCUGUUUACAGUGCAUAAAAGAAUCCACUAAUGUGAAUCCACUCAGGAUUCCCUCAUCACGCUUUCGCGCAUUGUGAAGGUUUCUUACCUGCUGCGCCCCGUAAGGCCUGUCUUCAUGUCUCAGAAGACAUCUCCGGGCUAUCACUCUCAUGACCCGUACAGAUUACAGGUUUGUUGGGCUUUUACCCCAACAACAGCCUAAUCUGACGCAGUCCCAUCCUAAAGCGGAUUACUCCUUUAAGCGAGGAGGCAUUCCAGCCAUUAUCGCCUAUAAGGUAUUAUGCGCAGUUUCCCGCGAUUAUCCCUUUCUUUAGGGUAGGUUGACUACGCGUUACUGAGCAGUUCGCUAUGUCUUGCGACAUUUAACUCGCAUGGCUAAGCAGAAUCCUGAUAGCAGUAGUCUCCGGCA
rnacentral:rRNA from 1 species